CUUCAGUGAUGAGGAGAUGAUGAGUCUGAAAGGGAAUAUCCUGCUCCAAGUGCCCUGUUUCAUCUUGUGUUCUGCAACAUGGGUUUUAGGUGACCUGGGGUCACAGUUUGAGUGACUUUGAGGCAUUUGUCUGAGAAGG
rfam:Calypte anna contig44995, whole genome shotgun sequence.